UGGGGAAUAUUGCACAAUGGAGGGAACUCUGAUGCAGCGACGCCGCGUGAGUGAUGAAGGAAUUCGUUUCGUAAAACUCUGUUCUAUGGGAAGAAAAGGACUGUACCAUAGGAGAAAGCUCCGGCUAAAUACGUGCCAGCAGCCGCGGUAAUACGUAUGGAGCGAGCGUUGUCCGGAAUUAUUGGGCGUAAAGGGUGCGCAGGCGGCUUUACAAGUUGGAUGUGAAAUAUUGUGGCUCAACCACAAACGUGCAUCCAAAACUGCAAAGCUUGAGUUAAGGAGAGGUAAGUGGAAUUCCUGGUGUAGCGGUGGAAUGCGUAGAUAUUAGGAGGAAUACCGGUGGCGAAGGCGACUUACUGGACUUAAACUGACGCUCAGGCACGAAAGCGUGGGGAGCAAACAGG
rnacentral:rRNA from 1 species